rnacentral:rRNA from 1 species
AUUGAACGCUGGCGGCAUGCCUUACACAUGCAAGUCGAACGGUAACAGGUCUUCGGAUGCUGACGAGUGGCGAACGGGUGAGUAAUACAUCGGAACGUGCCUAGUAGUGGGGGAUAACUACUCGAAAGAGUGGCUAAUACCGCAUGAGAUCUAAGGAUGAAAGCAGGGGAUCGCAAGACCUUGUGCUACUAGAGCGGCCGAUGGCAGAUUAGGUAGUUGGUGGGAUAAGAGCUUACCAAGCCGACGAUCUGUAGCUGGUCUGAGAGGACGAUCAGCCACACUGGGACUGAGACACGGCCCAGAGUCCUACGGGAGGCAGCAGUGGGGAAUUUUGGACAAUGGGCGCAAGCCUGAUCCAGCAAUGCCGUGUGCAGGAUGAAGGCAUUCGGGUUGUAAACUGCUUUUGUACGGAACGAAAAGCCCUGGGUUAAUACCCUGGGGUCAUGACGGUACCGUAAGAAUAAGCACCGGCUAACUACGUGCCAGCCGCCGCGGUAAAAC